GCGCGGCCCGGCGCGCCCGGCUGGGUGGCGCGCGCGCGCGUGCCCACGCCGUCGUCCAAGGACUACGUCUACCGCCCCAAGUCCACGUGCGAGCUCGACAUGUCGCGGACCACCAAGAAGAAGAUGACGCGCUACGAGAAGCAGAUGAAGCGGUUCAUGGACCAGAAGCGCAUGAAGAGCGGGUCACGACGCGCCGUCGAGAUCUCCAUAGAGGGCCGCAAGAUGGCGUUGUAAUGUGAUGUUUUCUUUAAGUCAUAGUGUUUAAGUUGAUAAGGUUACUUACUAUUACGGAACUGAAUAAAUUAUGUGACGAA